rnacentral:rRNA from 1 species
UGAGGAAUAUUGGUCAAUGGGCGGGAGCCUGAACCAGCCAAGCCGCGUGAGGGAUGAAGGCCCUAUGGGUCGUAAACCUCUUUUGUCAGGGAACAAAAGCGAGUAUGUAUACUAGUCUGAGUGUACCUGAAGAAAAAGCAUCGGCUAACUCCGUGCCAGCAGCCGCGGUAAUACGGAGGAUGCGAGCGUUAUCCGGAUUUAUUGGGUUUAAAGGGUGCGUAGGCGGCGGUGCAAGUCAGCGGUAAAAGCCCGGGGCUCAACCCCGGCGAGCCGUUGAAACUGCAGUGCUAGAGAAGGCGAGAGGUACGCGGAAUGCGCAGUGUAGCGGUGAAAUGCUUAGAUAUUGCGCAGAACUCCGAUUGCGAAGGCAGCGUACUGGCGCCUGACUGACGCUGAGGCACGAAAGCGUGGGUAUCGAACAGGAUUAGAUACC